AAGUCGAAGGAGAAGCCGGACUUCGGUCCGGUGGAAACUGGCGCACGGGUGAGUAACGCGUGGGUAUCUACCUUGGGGUGGGGAAUAACCGUUGGAAACGGCGGCUAAUACCGCAUACGCCUUUAGAGGGAAAGCUCCGGCGCCCUAAGAGGAGCCCGCGUUGGAUUAGCUUGUUGGUGGGGUAACGGCCUACCAAGGCUACGAUCUAUAGCUGGUCUGAGAGGAUGAUCAGCCACACUGGGACUGAGAUACGGCCCAGACUCCUACGGGAGGCAGCAGUGGGGAAUAUUGGACAAUGGGCGCAAGCCUGAUCCAGCCAUGCCGCGUGAGUGAAGAAGGCCUUAGGGUUGUAAAGCUCUUUCACCUGCGAAGAUGAUGACGGUAGCAGGAGAAGAAGCCCCGGCUAACUCCGUGCCAGCAGCCGCGGUAAUACGGAGGGGGCUAGCGUUGUUCGGAUUUACUGGGCGUAAAGGGCGCGUAGGCGGUAUGUCAUGUCAGGGGUGAAAGGCCUGGGCUCAACCCAGGAACUGCCUUUGAAACUGGCAAACUAGAGUCCGAUAGAGGAUGGCGGAAUUCCCAGUGUAGAGGUGAAAUUCGUAGAUAUUGGGAAGAACACCAGUGGCGAAGGCGGCCAUCUGGAUCGGCACU
rnacentral:rRNA from 1 species